rnacentral:rRNA from 1 species
GAUGAACGCUGGCGGCGUGCCUAAUACAUGCAAGUAGAACGCUGAAGGAGGAGCUUGCUCUUCUGGAUGAGUUGCGAACGGGUGAGUAACGCGUAGGUAACCUGCCUGGUAGCGGGGGAUAACUAUUGGAAACGAUAGCUAAUACCGCAUGACAACAGUUAUUGCAUGAUAACUGUUGAAAAGGGGCAACUGCUCCACUACCAGAUGGACCUGCGUUGUAUUAGCUAGUUGGUGAGGUAACGGCUCACCAAGGCGACGAUACAUAGCCGACCUGAGAGGGUGAUCGGCCACACUGGGACUGAGACACGGCCCAGACUGCUACGGGAGGCAGCAGUAGGGAAUCUUCGGCAAGGGACGGAAGACUGACCGAGCAACGCCGAGGGAGUGAAGAAGGUUGUCGGAUCGUAAAGCUCGGUUGUAAGAGAAGAACGAGUGUGAGAGUGGAAAGUUCACACUGUGACGGUAUCUUACCAGAAAGGGACGGCUAACUACGUG